UACGUAGGUGGCAAGCGUUGUCCGGAAUUAUUGGGCGUAAAGCGCGCGCAGGCGGUCUUCCAAGUCAGUGGUGAAAGCCCGGAGCUCAACUCCGGAACUGCCAUUGAAACUGUGAGACUUGAGGAUGAGAGAGGUGAGUGGAAUUCCCAGUGUAGAGGUGAAAUUCGUAGAUAUUGGGAAGAACGCCGGUGGCGAAGGCGGCUCACUGGCUCAUUUCUGACGCUCAGGCGCGACAGCGUGGGGAUCAAACAGG
rnacentral:rRNA from 1 species